rnacentral:rRNA from 1 species
UACGUAGGGGGCAAGCGUUGUCCGGAAUCAUUGGGCGUAAAGAGCGUGUAGGCGGCUUGGUAAGUCCGCUGUGAAAGUCCAGGGCUCAACCCUGGAAUGCCGGUGGAAACUGUCAAGCUUGAGUCCGGAAGAGGCGAGUGGAAUUCCUGGUGUAGCGGUGAAAUGCGCAGGAUAUCAGGAGGAACACCAAUGGCGAAGGCAGCUCGCUGGGACGGUACUGACGCUGAGACGCGAAAGCGUGGGGAGCAAACAGG